rnacentral:rRNA from 1 species
CUAGCGACUUCAGAGUUUGAUCCUGGCUCAGGACGAACGCUGGCGGCGUGCCUAACACAUGCAAGUCGAACGGGGUUGUUCCUUCGGGGACAACUUAGUGGCGAACGGGUGAGUAACGCGUGAGAAACCUGCCUUUCAGUGGGGGACAACAGUUGGAAACGACUGCUAAUACCGCAUAAUGUUAUUUGGGGGCAUCCCUGGAUAACCGAAGAUUUAUUGCUGAAAGAUGGUCUCGCGUCUGAUUAGCUAGAUGGCGGGGUAACGGCCCACCAUGGCGACGAUCAGUAGCCGGUCUGAGAGGAUGAACGGCCACAUUGGGACUGAGAUACGGCCCAG